ACGUUAUGCUCGUAGGCGUCGCCCAAGGAUGAGGCCGCGACCGAUCAGGUUGUUGGUGAGGUAAUGGCUCACCAAGCCUUUUACCGGUGCGGGCCGUGAGAGCGGGAGCCCGGAGAUGGGCACUGAGACAAGGGCCCAGGCCCUACGGGGCGCAGCAGUCGCGAAAACUUUGCAAUACACGAAAGUGUGACAGGGCUAUCCCGAGUGCCAUCCGCUGAGGAAGGCUUUUACCCAGUCUAGAACGCUGGGGGAAUAAGGAGAGGGCAAGUCUGGUGUCAGCCGCCGCGGUAAUACCAGCUCUCCGAGUGGUGUGGAUGUUUAUUGGGCCUAAAGCAUCCGUAGCUGGCUGAGUUAGUCCCUUGUUAAAUCCACCGAAUUAAUCGUUGGAUUGCGGGGGAUACUGCUCGGCUAGGGGACGAGAGAGGCAGACGGUAUUUCCGGGGUAGGGGUGAAAUCCUAUAAUCCCGGGAAGACCACCAGUGGCGAAGGCUGUCUGCUAGAACGCGCCCGACGGUGAGGGAUGAAAGCUGGGGGAGCGAACCGGAUUAGAUACCCGGGUAGUCCCAGCUGUAAACGAUGCAGGCUAGGUGUUUGGACGGCCACGUGCCGUUCUAGUGCCGCAGGGAAGCUGUUAAGCCUGCCGCCUGGGGAGUACGAUCGCAAG
rnacentral:rRNA from 1 species